AAUAGAUACCCCGGUAGUCCAUACCGUAAACGUUGGGCGCUAGAUGUGGGGACCAUUCCACGGUUUCCGUGUCGCAGCUAACGCAUUAAGCGCCCCGUCUGGGGAGUACGGCCGCAAGGCUAAAACUCAAAGGAAUUGACGGGGGCCCGCACAAGCGGCGGAGCAUGCGGAUUAAUUCGAUGCAACGCGAAGAACCUUACCAAGGCUUGACAUAUACGAGAACGCUCUAGAAAUAGAGAACUCUUUGGACACUCGUAUACAGGUGGUGCAUGGUUGUCGUCAGCUCGUGUCGUGAGAUGUUGGGUUAAGUCCCGCAACGAGCGCAACCCUCGUUCUAUGUUGCCAGCGGUUCGGCCGGGAACUCAUAGGAGACUGCCGGGGUCAACUCGGAGGAAGGUGGGGAUGACGUCAAAUCAUCAUGCCCCUUAUGUCUUGGGCUUCACGCAUGCUACAAUGGCCGGUACAAAGGGCUGCAAUACCGUAAGGUGGAGCGAAUCCCAAAAAGCCGGUCUCAGUUCGGAUUGAGGUCUGCAACUCGACCU
rnacentral:rRNA from 1 species